AGCAGCCGCGGUAAUUCCAGCUCCAAUAGCGUAUAUUAAAGUUGUUGCAGUUAAAAAGCUCGUAGUUGAAUUUCGGGGUUAGCAAGUUGGUCGUGCCAAUGGUAUGUACUGGCUUUGCUGAUUCCUCCUUCUUGUAGAACCGUAAUGCCAUUUAGUUGGUGUUGCGGGGAAACAGGACUGUUACUUUGAAAAAUUAGAGUGUUUAAAGCAGGCUAACGCCUGAAUACAUUAGCAUGGGAUAAUGAAAUAGGACGAGCGAUCCUAUUUUGUUGGUUUCUAGGAUUGACGUAAUGAUUAAUAGGGAUAGUUGGGGGCAUUAGUAUUCAAUUGUCAGAGGUGAAAUUCUUGGAUUUAUUGAAGACUGACUACUGCGAAAGCAUUUGCCAAGGAUGUUUUCAUUAAUCAAGAACGAAAGUUAGGGGAUCGAAGACGAUCAGAUACCGUCGUAGUCUUAACCAUAAACUAUAGCCGACUAGGGAUC
rnacentral:rRNA from 1 species